rnacentral:lncRNA from 1 species
CACGCAGCUAAAUUGAGGGGCUUGCUUGUUUGUUCUUCACGAUCCCUGUAAAGAGAAACAUUUUAGGUUGGAGGGAGCUGGAAGGGAAGGCUGGAGGCAGCCUGGGAGGCUCUCCUUCGAGGCAGAUCUCCUCCCUGCUGGCUGACCUGGGUCAGGAUUUUCCCCUGGGCAGCCCUGUCUGGCCGUUCCCAUCAGGGAGGAUGGCCAGCACCGGCUGGAGGGCUGUGCUGGAGGGGGCACUCGGGACAAGGGGCUUGCUGUGCAGCUUCGUGCGCCACAGUGAAGCUGGAGCGGGUGCCACACAGCUGAAUCAGGGGCUGUGCCUGUGGCUUUAACUUCAUUUUCUGCUGCAGGCCUCCUGGUAUGUAAGAAAGCAAAUUCAAGCAUGCCGCUAUGUUCACCGAGGCAGCAAACUUGGGGGGGGGAGGGAGGUGGAGAAAAUUCCCCUCCUUCUGCAGUUCAUGGUGUUCUUCUAAACUAUUUAUAAAUAGGUCUACUGUAGCCAGUGUUUGCAUUUGGACUGCUUCACUGUUCUCGUUUUCAAGGCUUCUCUUAGAUCUGACAGUAAAGGUCAGGUUGACUCCCCUCAUCUGAAAUGAAGAGGGGAAGAAAAUUAACCCUGUAGUCAGGUGGCUCAAAGGCAGUAAUUCCCAUCAACGUGAGCAAGUUCUCCGUUGUGCGUGGCUGGGGCAGAGCGCCGGACCCACUCUCCCUUUUGCUCCAUUUUCGUUUCCCUGCCCUCUUCAUUAGCUGCUGACAGUUUUAGCUUCCUACGUCCAUUUAAAGAGAUUCCCCCCGCACAUCAUCUGGGAUUCAUGAACUGCAGAGAUCUGGCUAUUUUCAACUUUAAGCCACAGUUAAUCCAUGACCUUAGUGCUUUUGUCUCCAGGUCUGAAUUAUGAUUCCUGCCAAGUGGACACAAAGACAACUGAAGCAGGAAUGUACCCCGUACUCUGCAGUGCCCACUGCAAUGGCAGGACUCAGAUACCUCUUUUCUUGGAGCAGCUCAGCAGAAGAACACAAAGAUGUCACUUCUGGCAUGGAUCACCCAGCGGCGCAUCCCUGGAAGAUGGACUGGUGCUCAGGUGCUGAGGUUUCAGGUCAGACAGAACCCAUGGGGAUGCUUCUUAAUGCACCAGCCUGGCUCCAUCCAGCUUGCCAGCACCAAAAGGAGGCAUCCGACCCCCACAAGGCACAGGCAACUCCACUGCUUGUCCUGCUCCUGCUGACUUCUUCGCUGACCGGCAGCAGCCUGGUGUUGCUCAAUGCUCCCUGUACGUGUCUGUGCCCACCUGAGUGCAGGAUACGGCCUCCCCCUGCCCGUCACAACCGGGGCCAUCACCCAUGCUCAAUCACACCACAUCCCUCCGCAUGUGAAGCCUGCAAGUUUUGGGGCAUGUGUAGAAAUGAUUUCUUAACGUGUGUGUGUGAGCAGUUGGCUGCUGGGACAGGAAGAUGUGACUGUGCAGGCCCUUUGCAGCACUGA